rnacentral:rRNA from 1 species
UACGUAGGGUGCAAGCGUUAAUCGGAAUUACUGGGCGUAAAGCGUACGCAGGCGGCUUUGCAAGACAGGUGUGAAAUCCCCGGGCCUAACCUGGGAACUGCAUUUGUGACUGCAUGGAUAGAGUUUGUCAGAGGGGGGUGGAAUUCCACGUGUAGCAGUGAAAUGCGUAGAUAUGUGGAGGAACAUCGAUGGCGAAGGCAGCCCCCUGGGAUGUGACUGACGCUCAUGUACGAAAGCGUGGGGAGCAAACAGG